CCAAACUCUGGGCUUUUUUCUGAGCAAACAUUUUGAGAGAAACCAAACAUGAUGAUGUGGAAAAGCGACCGGGGCUGUCCCCUCUCACAGAAGCAGGGCUGAUGAAAACACAGGGAUUAGUACAGAUGAAUCAUUGCCACUCCUGUCCCUGAGAGCGUUUGUUAGCGGCAGCCCAAUAAAGACCGGAUCUCCGAAAGCGCUGACAAGUCACCCACUGAGCCUGGGAGUUAGAGAUCGCUUCCGAAAUUGGUGGGAGGAGAAAGCGGGAGUGGAGACAUGGGGGCGUAUCCCCCUUCCAGAAUUCAUGUUCCUCCUUUUGUGUUUUGAAGGGUUCAAGAUUGGGAGGAAACAACCAAGAUCCAGGCACUCUUCAAAGCCUCUCCAAAAGGAGGGGCAAGGAGAGGCCACCCCGAAAUGAAGUCACAAGUGAUGGAUUCUUAGGACCUGGAGGUGAGGACUUUUGACCUACUUGCCUGAAUAUAAAUUUGCUCUAAACCUCCUUGUCUGCUAAGCAGGAAUAACUAUGCCUUCCUCACAAAGCUGGUCUGAGGAUCAUCUACAUGAGCUAAUUCAGUGUUUCCCAAACUCCAGUCAUUCCUGCAUCAGCAUCUUCAUUUUUACCAAAUUCACUUAAUUCAAGAAUUGUCAUUUAUUUACUUUUUGUUAAAUCAACUGUCUUCUUUAUAUAACUCCCCUUGUUUGUCAAAGGAAACAAAAACAGGUACAUGUUUGUUCACAUUUUAACAUCUUUGAAGGCAGCCUGUUCAUGCUCAAUGGUGUGUGACAGUCAAUCAGCAUAAUUUUUUUCUUUCUUAAUGGAAUAUACAAUAAUGAUGUGUAUAUAAUCAGCAACAUUUAAAUUCUCUUACAUAUGGAAAGUCACUUCUUUAAGUGGAAAUACAGGUUGUUUAUUUAAAAUAGAUGGAAACAUUUAAAUGAUAGGUUUUUAUUGUUACCUUUUAAUUGAAUUUCCAACAUAAUUAAAUUUCAGCCAGAGUGUGCUGCCUGCAAACCUGUUAGCCUGAGGCCUGCUCCCGAUCUAUUUAAAAGGAAAAUGUAGAGAGUAAAGAGGGUUAGUAAUGACUUACUAUCACUAAACUGAUAGGAUCUACAUGGUGUAAUACAGUAUAUAAUUCCAUGUUGCUAAUAGUUCCCCUGCACAGCACCCAAAACUAUCUCCAUCAGCAGGAAGUGUCUGCCUUGAAUCAAUUGUAGGGAUGUGGAUGAACCUAGAGGCUGUCAUUCAGAGUGAAGUAAGUCAGAAAGAGAAAAGCAAAUAUUGUAUGUUAGUGCAUGCAUAUGGAAUCUAGAAAAACGGUACUGUUGAAACUAUUUGCAGGGCGGGAAUAGAGGCGCAGACGUGGAAAACGGACAUGUGGACGUAGGGCGGGGAAAGGGAGGGUGGGAAGACUGAAGAG
rnacentral:lncRNA from 1 species